UGCAAGGUGGACCUUUCUGCAUUCUAGGACU
rnacentral:piRNA from 1 species